rnacentral:rRNA from 2 species
GUCUACGGUCAUACCACCCUGAACACGCCCGAUCUCGUCUGAUCUCGGAAGCUAAGCAGGGACGGGCCUGGUUAGUUUAGUACUUGGAUGGGAGAUUGCCUGGGAAUACCGGGUGCUGUUGGCU